rnacentral:tRNA from 1 species
UUUUUCUUAGUAUAAAAAGUACAUUUAACUUCCAAUUAAAAAGAAUAAAGAAAAUCAUAUUAAU